rnacentral:rRNA from 1 species
UGGCGGACGGGUGAGUAAUGUCUGGGAAACUGCCUGAUGGAGGGGGAUAACUACUGGAAACGGUAGCUAAUACCGCAUAACGUCGCAAGACCAAAGAGGGGGACCUUUGGGCCUCUUGCCAUCGGAUGUGCCCAGGUGGGAUUAGCUAGUAGGUGGGGUAAAGGCUCACCUAGGCGACGAUCCCUAGCUGGUCUGAGAGGAUGACCAGCCACACUGGAACUGAGACACGGUCCAG